rnacentral:lncRNA from 1 species
UCGAUGAUGCAAUUCUCUCGUUUGUACCUUUUUGAGGGCCUAUUCAAAUGACCAAAUGUUUUUCUGUGGCUCGCCUAUUAGAAUUGUCAGAUGAAGAAUCUGAUUUUGAACUUGAAUACGAAAUCUUAUCUGCUGGCUCAGCCGAUCCCUGGGAUGACACAGAUUUAGGAUGGGAAUUUUGAACUUGAAUACGAAAUCUUAUCUUCUGGCUCAGCCGAUCCUUGGGAUGACACAGAUUUAGGAUGGGUAUCUGCAGAUGUUCCCGGUGAAACCAGUGGCAGAGUUGUUGUUUGCUGGUGGUUGAUGCGUCUCCAGUGAACUUUUCAUGUUGUUCUUCCGACACUGUUCAUCAAUCGCAUCACUGGAUUUCGACGGUGGAUUGUCACAAAAUUGGCGUCAUUCGAUCCCCUUCUCUACGGGAUCAUUUCCCAAUUGAAAUUUUCCCAUAAUUCAUAACCAAUUUUCCAAAAUAUUGCACUUUUUGUAAUCACCAAGGUCAUGAUGUAUAAUCGUGUCGUUGGAACACAGAAGAAUUUAAUGAAAAAGCAGCUCAUGUUACUGAAUCUGAAGGCCGGGGCAGUUUGUCUAAAAUAGGACGUGAUGCCAUGGAAUUAUUGAAUGUGAUUAGUGCAGGUCGACGAGUUGAGGUGGUUUCACAUUCAGACAAUAGUGCUGCUAUCCAACAGACAGUGUCUGUUUCUAAUGCUACUGCUGUAGCACCAAUCCUAAGUCCAGUUGCAGUUUCUGUCCAGCAUCUUACGGAGCAAUCUCCUCCAACUUUGCAGUUGUCAAAUAAUGUGUUAUCUGAAAAGAAAUUGUCCAAGUUGCCUACAGAGACAUCUUCAUGCUGUCCUGUAGGUCGAAAUGAAUGUGAUCAUCAGGGUAAAGUCACUGAAUUGCCCCAAAGAAUUCCAAAGGAAGAUAUGGUCCAACCUGAACCAAAUUUGACUUCAAAUGAGGCAGUCCCUGUAAUGUCAAAGAUGUGGUCCAAUGCAUUAGUGCAGUCUCAUUGUGAG